GGCAGUCUGAAAGGCUGGCUGCGGAGUAUGCAACCACUUGCACAACGUUACUGCACUCUGCCACAGUGGCAAGGCGAGGACAUUGCACAAGGAAAAUUAGAGGAAUCUGUGCUUCUGCUUUUCAGCUGGGCCUGCAGAUUUGGGCAUUCAGCUACUGCCAGUGUAGGCCUGAAAAGGAAUAUGAUGGAGUUAACAUUGCUUAUUUUACAUUAUAAUAUUCCUUUUUUUCCUUCUUUUUUUGUAGUUCGAAGAUGAAUACAUGAAGCACUGUGAAGCAGAUUAAAGCACAGGCACCAGCGGUACAUGCCAAGGCUCUGCUCCCAGACCUGUGAACUGAUGCCAAGCCUCCUGCUUCCAAUUACACAAGCCUUCCACGUCUUGCUCCGGAGGCUGUGAGCACAGAUAUGAGAUGACUAUGUGAACCAUACAAGAUUGGUAUAUGAAGAAAAAGAAGUUCAAUGCUCAGUACACAAGGCCAAAAUGUUCA